rnacentral:hammerhead_ribozyme from 1 species
AUCCGGCUGACGAGUCACAAAUAGGACGAAACGCGCGUCCUGGAU